UACGUAGGUGGCAAGCGUUGUCCGGAUUUACUGGGCGUAAAGAGCGCGCAGGCGGUCGUUCAAGUCGCGUGUGAAAGCCCCCGGCUCAACUGGGGAGGGUCACGCGAUACUGAUCGACUCGAAGGCAGGAGAGGGAAGUGGAAUUCCCGGUGUAGUGGUGAAAUGCGUAGAUAUCGGGAGGAACACCAAUGGCGAAGGCAGCUCGCUGGGACGGUACUGACGCUGAGACGCGAAAGCGUGGGGAGCAAACAGG
rnacentral:rRNA from 1 species